AAGUCGUAACAAGGUUUCCGUAGGUGAACCUGCGGAAGGAUCAUUACCACAUCCAAAAUCUUUAUAUAAACCCACACAUGUGAAGUUAUGAUGAGGAACUUUUUUUCCAAAAAUCAUUUUGAACCCCUUUUGAACUCUUUUGAAGUAGAAAAAGCAAGAUUAAUCAAAAAUGAGAAAAGAGAAAACAACUUUUAACGGUGGAUCUCUUGGCUCGU
rnacentral:misc_RNA from 1 species